rnacentral:lncRNA from 1 species
UAUGAAGAUGAGCAUGAAUGCAUAGGAUAUGCAGUUCUUCCAAAUAUGGAUAUUAAAGAUGCAUAAUGAUUUUUUUCAUUAUUCUGCCAAGUAUCAUAUGCAGUGAAGUUAAGACACAUCAUUCCCUGGAAGUGACUACCAUAGUAUCUGCUGUUGUGUUUAUUUAUUUUUUAACCAAUUCACAUCCUGGUGGUAUUUGUUAGGUAUACAAAGACUGAAAAACUACUGCGAUGGCCUCAUGCCUUGUUUUUCUCCUUUAGAAGAUGUUUUUUCUCCUUUAGAUGAUUUUUUUCUCCUUUAGAAGAGUGUACUUCCUUUCUCAUUGGUGAAACAUCUAUUAAUAGUAAUUCUCAUCUUCCCUGAGAACCCUCAUCUGUAUAAUGUGCUAGUUUUUACCCAGGAACACUGCAUUAUAAAGCAUUUAAAGGGUUUUAUCCUACAGAACUCUGCUAAGCAGAUCCCUGAAGAGGCCAGACAGCUCUCCUGAAAUCCAUGGUUGUGAGCAAGCAUCCUCCUUUUGCCCUAAGUAUGUUGAACUCCACAAUUUCAUGGUCACUGCACCAAGACUGCCUUUGACCUUUACAUUCCCACCAGCAUCACCUUGUUGAUAAGAAAGAGGUCCAGCACAGCCUCUUUCCUCAGCUUCUCUAUCACCUGGAGAAGGAAGUUAUCAUCGUAUUGUAUGGUACCUGCUUACCAGCAGGUUGGACUUGAUGAUCUCUUGAGGUUCCUUUCGAUCUCUGUGAUUCUGUGGUUCUGUGAUUCUGCAACACACUCUAGGAACCUCCUGGAUUGCUCAUGCCUUGCUUUGUUGCCUCUCCAACAGAUAUUGGGGUGGUUGAAUUCCCACAUGAAGACCAGGGACUGUGAAUACAAAUCUGUUCCUCAGUCCAGCACAGCAUGACUACCUCUGCCCCAUCACUGAUUGCUGGUGGACCAACCCUUUCUCACCCUGCAGCUACCAGACAGGCUGAAAUACUCCUGAGGUGGACCUUGAAUUCCCAUGUAAAUUAGGUUGGCUCCUGACAGCAGGAGGUAGCUAAAAAGUUAUGAAGACACCUAAUCCCCUACUUCCUGUCUCAAAACACCUUGGAGCUUCCCCACUCCCACAGCACCUCUCUGGGCCUCCUGAGGCUGACAGUAGCUUCUAUUGGAACCUUUCUGACCCUUCUCAGGAACAGUAUCCAGGGACCAGUUGAAUCAGCACUGCAGAACAUCUUUUUGUUGUUACUGCAGGCAAAAAUUAUUUAGCCCUUCACAUUUGGUUCUGCCUCUGAGAAGCUCUGAGUGAGCUCUAGGCCACUGUGUAAACUCUACUGGCACCUCUGUGUUUCUUAAUGAGUCUUAAACAUACCCAUGCCUAGGGCUAUACCUGGUGAAUACUCUGGCUGACAGAUCUCUAAUUUGUC